UUCAGACCAAUACCAAUUAAAUAUCUCCCUGACAAUCCAGUCCCAAUUAAAUAUCUCCAAAGAUAAUUUCUACCAAAAGCAAUCCCGCAUACCACAUGGAGGAUAUGAACAAGACUAGCUGGUGAGCCAGAUUAUGCUUAUUAUCUAAUACAUGCUGAAGACAGGCGUAGUUAUUGUAAAAGCAGAAACCAAAAAAAUUAACCAACUGAUACACCAAAUAAGAAACGCUAGGCACAAAGAGAACCAGAUUAUAGUCAUCGAUUGAUGUACAAGCUCAAACAUUUACAGACAUCUCAAAAUUGUGACUGUAGCUUGUGUCCUAUACAAUGCCUUGCGCUCAAGGAGAUCAAACUAUGCCAGCAGCAACUCACUGAAUUCAAAUUUACUAAUUUUCGUCUGUUUCCUUUUGUAGCACCUAUUUUUCUUAAUUUACAGUUACUUGGUGGACAAAAAAAAAAAAAGAGGUACCACUUUGACAUUACAUACAGUUGAACCUUGUAAAGAAUGUCAUGAGAAAAGGAGCUUCACAAGAUUGAAGAGAACCCUCCUGCAAAGAGAGAAAGUAAGCACCUUAUUGUAAGUUGCAUUCAGAACUUGUGCAUAAAUUGUUAUUAUAAAAUUAAAUUAGGACUCGGGAUUGUUGAAGUGCGUAACUAUCUCACAGAAAACCCUUUAAUUACUAACUUAUAUUAUAUAUCUCAGCAAUGACAACUCAACAACCACCUUACCUUUCACCACCUUUCGAGCACUUCAGAUGCCAUCUCAAGUAUAAGCAAAAAUUCUAUCUGUAAUUUUAGUCCGACAGAUUGGACACUCGGCACAGGCAAGGGAACAAGAUUUACACACUGCAAAUUAAGUCGACAUUAGACAUCUCCUACCAAGGGAGCGAGGAUAAGCUGAGCACAUAAUCAGAAAGUUGACUUACAGCAAAAAUGUCGGCAAGGAAGGAGCAUCGCAGAACUUGGUGAUUCGAAACAGACUUUACAUACAUGUGAAUUUGCAUCAACAUUUCCCAAAUAUCUGUGUUCCUUUUCCUUCAUCUCUUGCAUUCGAGCCUGGUGGCACAGGUAAAAGAUCUUUAAUAUUUCAUGUUAUAUGUUGAGUCAUGAAGGAACCUAAAAAACAACAUUUGUUAUUAGUACUAACUCCUAUGCAAAAACCUAAGAACAAACAUGUAUCCCCUUACCCAUUUAAUAUUUUCCAUUUUAGGUUUCAUCUUAAAAUGCUUGAGACAAUUUAGCUACUAUAUUGCACUACAAAGUCAAAUUCUUCUAAGAAUUUCAAAUCUAUUUGACUGUCAGAAGUUAAAUUUUCUUAUAACUAAAACCAACUGUGAGUUCAGCAUUUUCUCCCAUUACUAAUAUAAUAUAAUAUGCAAGUCACGAACAGUAGGACUUGCCUGAAACAACCUCAAAAGAUUGACACAGAGCAGUAAAUAGAAAAGCUUAUAAUGCUCUUAGUUACUUUUGAUUAGUUGGAACAUUUCAAAAGCACUACAGUAAGUGCACUACUAUGCGAGAAGCACCAUGGAACGACAAAUGACUGAAAGGUAAAUACUUCCUCUUUCUCAGUUUAUGAUGACACUACUUAUAUUUUGAGAUGUCUCGAAAUGUUCGAUACAAUUCUGUUUCUACACAACUUUCAGGAAUAAAAAUUCAUUACAGUAUCCAAAUUUUAGUCUUCAAUGCGAUAUCUUCCCCGCCCAGCUAACUUUUCAACCAUUUCUUUAAUAUUUUCUCCUGUUAUCAUUACAACAACAACAACAACAACAACAACUGGGAUUACACUGUGGGAUAUAAGUCAUUAAAACUAGUUGGAACAUUUGAUUAGUUGUAAUCCCACCAGUGUAAUCUCCUGUUAUCAUUAAAACUAUAUAUAAGUCAUAUUGACUUCUUAAAUGCCAUCAUCAGUCAAAUACAAGACAUAAAGUGGGACGGAUGGAAUAAGUAAAAGUAUAUUAAUCCUGUGACUUACGGAUGUUGGACACUUACUCUCCCCAGCCCUUCCGGUGUUCUACUAGAAUCAAACAACCUUCAUCUUCCAGAAAGCUUGCAUAUCUUCCUGGAUCCAAAGUCUAUCUCACACUUGUUUUACAACUAAAAGACAAAAAUGACCAUCUUACAUAGAGAGGGAAAGGUAAAGGAAAGCUUGCAUACAGAGCUUCAACUCUGACAAAUGACAAGGACGAGCCCAUUACAUACAUGUGACAAGAUACAAGUUCUAAGUGGCAAUAAAGGAUAAACAGAAUUACCUUCAAGCGGGCAACAAGAAUGUCUUCCUUGAGAAUCUCUGCAACUGCAGUUGCAUGAUCCAUGGUCCGGCCAUCAUCGAGGAUGGGGUCACUGUACUCACUAUCAUUCACUUUUGGAUCAUUCCUAUUGUCUCCUCGAACAUUCUGCUUUUCUGCUACUGUCUUUAAAUCUUGCAUGGCACCAUUCUCUUUCCUAAGCUGAGCAACAAGCACCCACAUAUUUGCUAAAUCAUUUUCCAGAGCUGCCUCCCUUUUUUUUCCCUCUUCAACCUUUUUCUUGUACUCAUCUUCCAGUAUUUCCUUCUCAACCAAAGCAGCCUCCAGAGCUGCCUCACAUUGUUUUCUUGCCUGCAACUCCAUUUUUAAAUCUUCAUGAUCCAGAUUCCAUGGGCCAAACCCAUCACGAACAACUCCAGCAAUUUCAAUUUCUCGUCCAGAAACCCGACCUCUACGUCCUUGCCAUAGGUUUUCACCAUGCUUUCCGCAACGAGCACUACCAGUUUGUGCUAUGGAAUUCCUAGAAUUCAAUAUUUGGCGAGCAGCCAACAACUCUUUCUCGAGUUUUGUAUUCUGUAUCGAUAGCUUUGUCACCUCACCAGCCAAAUUUUUCAGUUCUACUGCAGCAGCAGAUGCCAAUUCUUUUGCAUAUGAGGCUUCUUCAGACAAUUUCUGGUUCUGUACUCGCAAUCCACUGUUCUCCUCUACACUCUGAACAAGUUCCAACUUCAACUUAUCAUUAUCAAUAUCCUGCUCAAGCAACAAACUUAUCAGAACCAUGAUAAGGACACAUUUAAGGAAAAUGCAAUCACAUAAAAGUGUCUGUAGGCACAAAGCUAAAUAAGCAGAGUUAGAGAGAUGUAGUCCUUUAAUUGCUGUAUAUGUCACACUAAUGGCAGAUUGAAGAACUCUAAUAGAAAUGCCCAGUAAUGCUUGCUUUUAUGCAGGUAAAGCCAUUAGUCAAAUACAAAUCUAACAUAGAAAGAUUAACCAAGAGAAAUUGAAAGAUCAAAAUGAUCAUGUGUCUAGGCUCCAUACUAUAGCACCAAGUUCAGUAUGUUUAUAUAGAACAGAACAAAAGGUAAAAGACUAAGCAUCUCCAAUAAUUUAAAUUCCUAAGUUAAAAAAUCUUAGACUAGUCAUUCAUAAAUAACAUAUCAUCAGGAUGCCCUUCAAGGCAUUUGCACGGCUUUAUAUAAAGGAAGUAAUAAAACACUUCGAUAGGUCUUAAGAGUUUGAAUUCUCAAUGUAUCUUUAGACUAUAGAGGCACUAAGGAUUCAUAUGAGUCCUGUGCUCAGCAUCUCUUAGCUCAGUUAACUAAACAGUGAUAUGCUCCAGCAAACCCCUCCCCUGCAGGAGACCAUCUUCAUGAAAAUAAAGAAAAGAAAAUUUGGUCUCAGUUCUUCAUAUAAACAAGAACCAGUCCAAUAGACAAACGCGAAAUCAGUUAAUCCUGAGCUGAAGGAUAUAAAUCACCUGCAACUGAAUUUUCUUCUUAAGGUCAUCAAUAUACUCGUCUGAUACACCCUGUUGUUCUGAUGAGGGGUAUGACUUUUCCACCUUCAGUGCGGCUAGCUGCUGCUCAAGAUUACAAAUAGUUUCCUGCAGUUCCUUGUUCUCUAAACACUGAAACACAUAAAAAAUGACAGUCCCAUUAAUCCUGGACAUCCGCCAUUGGCAGGCCGACAACGUUAAAGUGACUACCAUUUUGAUUAACAACAAAAAUAAAUAAUGGCGUUUCUUCACCUUGUUCUGCAGCUCUUCCUGGAGAAUCCGAUUGUCUGCUGAUUUUAUCUGCAUUCAAACGUCAAAUUCUAAAUAACUUUAAAUAAUAGAUGUUCCGCACUCUGAUAGAAAGGAAAAUUCUUUAGAUUUGAUUUUAAAAUAAUUGAAUUGGUGCAAAUCAAGGAAGGACUAAUCUGGUUACCAACCUCAAGCUCAAAGCCCUGUUCACUACAUUGUGUCAUCAGCUUCAGCAAAGUCUGGCAGAAGACAGAACUAUGAGACAACCACAAAUCACCAUUAAAGAGAUAACCUAUGAGGUUGAAAAAGAAUGAUGUGACAUAACCUGCUGCAUUUCAACUAAAGAUGCACUGGUGACUGAUGCUUCACCAAUGUCAACAAUGCGCUGUUCUAAGAUCCUCAUCUGCUCUCUCUUUUCUUGAAUGUCACACUCCAAACUUUGAAUCUGUCACAAGUUUAGGCAUUACGGUGAGUAAAAAUCUUAAAAGCAGGAGACAUCAAUGUACAGAAGAACAAACAAUAAAUUGUUUUCAUGAAAAUCAUACAGCUGUUGUUGCUUAACAACAAAAUCCUACACACCCAUCAAGCAUUUAACAUGCCUAUCAACUUUGAGGAUUAGAAACUAUUGAAGACACUAGAGCUGGAUAUGUUUCACAUGUAGUAAAUAUACCAAUACCAUGCCUUGAAUUUUGAGGAAGCAUCAAUUACAUAUUCAUUUGAAUUCCAAAAAUAUAUCUAAACUGUUCGCGAAUUUUGAGAGAAGAUUAUUGACUGCAAAAUAUAGCUGCAGAUUAUUCAAAGAGAGACCCAAUAUAUGGCUAUAGCAGCCAUACACACAUCCAUCAUAUUACUAACCAUCAUAUGUAUAAAGGAUUCAGUCCACAAAGACAAAAUAAAGCUUACUUCAGUACGAGUUUUUGAAUUCUCAGGAUCAUUCGCAGACUGCUCCAUCAUUCUUUUCAAUGUACUCGUACUAAAUGCAAUCUCUCCAGCAAGCAUCUUAACUUGCUCAACAAGGAGGUCCAUCUGAUCUGACAUUGGAACUCCUUUCUGUAUUCAAACCAGAAAGACAAAUAAAACAUUAAAAGUUGGAAGGAAUUAACAUUUGAUAUGCAAUGGAAAAGUAUUCCAAUAUAUAAGAAUUAGACAUUCGAAAAAAAUAAUCUUAAUGGGAAAAACUAGAUUUGAAAGAAAAGUAAUAACUUCUCUAUCCUGAGACAACAUUGGAGAAUGCUAAAAUGUACGGAUCCAAGAAAGUUUGAUAAUUCAAUACUUGAAAAAAAAAUUAGAUAUCAAAAAAUCAAACUCCAUGCAAAGUCAAAGACCUUAGUGGGCUAUUCAGAGUAAACUUAACUACAUGUGGAUUAAAAAAUAACAUAGUAACCGACAAAUCCUUUGAUUCCUACAGAAGAUUAACAGUCAUAUGCAAUACAUAGGAAGUGGAAUUAAGAACAAAUGAAGUCUCCUCAUUUAGAAGAUAUUAAGGACUGGGAAGAAUCAUACUAUGGGCAGCUUUGAACCACAGGAGGAACUACUGAUAAGUUCACC
rnacentral:lncRNA from 1 species